GAAAUGCGAUAAGUAAUGUGAAUUGCAGAAUUUAGUGAAUCAUCGAAUCUUUGAACGCAUAUUGCGCCCGCCAGCACUCUGGCGGGCAUGCCUGUUCGAGCGUCAUUUCAACCCUCAGGCUUCGCGUCUGGCGUUGGGGCGCUGCGGCCCACCCGCAGGCCCCCAAAUCUAGCGGCGGACCCACCCGGCCCUGAGCGCAGUAGAGAGAAAAACUCAAACGCUCCGGCGGCCGCGGCGCGGUUAUGCCUCUCGCCCAACAGCGCUAAUAGCGCCACCCCCCAAAGGUUGACCUCGGAUCAGGUAGGACUACCCGCUGAACUUAA
rnacentral:misc_RNA from 1 species